rnacentral:lncRNA from 1 species
UUGCUUACAGGGAAACUAGGAGUGCUGGGAAUCAUGCAUAAGGAUGGUCAAUAUAGCCCACCCAUAAGCCCAGGGCAGCAGAUGGAUGGAAGGGCACAUGCUGCUGACCAUGUGUUCAUCUGUGGAAGACCUGUGUUUUGUGGGCAGGGGAACCACUGUAAUGCUAAAGGGAAUGACGCUGUUCCUACCUGCGGCAAAGACUGCUUAUCAUCCCCCAGUAUCCAUUCUCCCUUUCCUCCUUUUAAUAACAACUUCCCCGGAUAUGGAGUUUCAUCAGGGCAUAUAGCUAUCUAGCUAGAGACUACAUUUAUCAUCCUGCCUUGUAGGUAAGUGUGGCUAUGAUACUAAAUUAUCCCAAUGGAAUGUGAGCAAGGGGAUGUAUAUACUUCUGCAUCCCUUCCUUAAAAGGAACCUACUUGGCUUACCCCCUCCCUUCUCUCUUUCAUGAGGGCAGAAAUGCAGAUGUGGUGCUGGGAAAACGCUUGGACCAUCUCUAUAAUGGAAACUCCCUAGAGCAGAAAGCUGAGACUAAUUGUCUGCAAAGAGAAAUGCCAACAAGAAACAAACUAAUUUGCCCUGUAGAACCCCAGAAAGGCUGAGAACUUGGAGGCACAGAUACCUCAGAAGCUAGUGUGAAAUACAGGAAAAUUGAUUGAAAGUGUGUAAGGGAAAGUUAGACCCCCAAUUUCUUUCUGUAACGCUGCCCAGCCAGCCACCACCACUCUGCAAUCCAACAGGAGCUGGGAGAUUUUGUCCCUGGAACAAUUCAGCCUGAGAAGCUCCAGAGCAUGGCACAGUAGAGGGUAUGGAAGAGAAACAGGAAACAGAAGCUCUAACACCCACAGAGAAUUUGGAAGCCUUCAAUGACUGAAGCAGUGGAAAAUGAGUCGGCUUCAUAAUCCAUAGCAGUUUUGCAGAAAUCCUCCAUUUGUAUUGUCAGGAGGAAGUCACAGCUAUUACUACCUGGCAGCUGUCAAGACCUGGGAUUCAAAUGGUAGAACCAGACUGGUUUCCUGUGGAAAUACCUUUUUCAAUCCUAUCAUCAAACUCAUUCCUGUGAAUGAGGCUCUCUUCCAAUCUCAGUGCAAAGCACAGAGAUGGAGUCUGUUUGGAAUUGAGAUUGUUACUGAGGCAAAUUUUAGAGUUUGUGAUUCAAACAUAUUCAUAGGUAGGGUAGGAAAAUAGGCAUUGUGGCAGUCUCUGUGGUAGUGUUUAUGAAAUGAAAAAUAAGACCUUUGUUUCUAUUGCUUUUUUAAAGCCCUUGCAUACUAGGAGACAGGGGUUUUAUAGAAAAUUAAAUGCAGAUAGAGUCCUUUUCCUCUCAAACAAAGC